GUCCUUUUGUUAAAAAUUUAAGGUCUAACCUGCCCACUGAUUAUUUGAAUGGCCGCGGUAUUUUGACUGUGCUAAGGUAGCAUAAUCAUUAGUUUUUUAAUUAAAAGCUGGAAUGAAGGGUUGAAUGAAAAAAUAACUGUCUCUUAUAAAAUUUAUUAGAAUUUUAUUUUUAAGUUAAAAAGCUUAAAUAAGUUUAAAAGACGAGAAGACCCUAUAGAGUUUAAUAUAAAUAAGUUUUUAAAGGUUAAGGAUUUAAUUUUUAAUUAUAGUAUUAUAUUUAAUUGGGGUGAUUAAAAAAUUUAGUGAACUUUUUUUUUAUUUUAAUAUAGAUUAAUAAGUAUUUGAUCCAAUUUUUUUGAUUAUAAGAAUAAAUUACCUUAGGGAUAACAGCGUAAUUAUAUUGGAGAGUUCUAAUCGAUAAUAUAGAUUGCGA
rnacentral:rRNA from 1 species